rnacentral:rRNA from 1 species
CCUACGGGAGGCAGCAGUGAGGAAUAUUGCACAAUGGACGAAAGUCUGAACCAGCCAAGUAGCGUGAAGGAUGACUGCCCUAGGGGUUGUAAGCUUCUUUUAUAAAGGAAUAAAACGAGGCACGUGUGCCUGUUUGCAUGUACUUUAUGAAUAAGGUUAGGCUAACUCCGUUCCAGCAGCCGCGGUAAUACGGAGGAGCCGAGCGUUAUCCGGAUUUAUUGGGUUUAAAGGGAGCGUAGAUGGGUUGUUAAGUCAGUUGUGAACGUUUGGGGCUCAACCGUAAAAUUGCAAUUGAUACUGGCAGUCUUGAGUACAGUAGAGGUAGGCGGAAUUCGUGGUGUAGCGGUGAAAUGCUUAGAUAUCACGAAGAACCCCGAUUGCGAAGGCAGCUUCCUAAACUGUGACUGACAUUGAUGCUCGAAAGUGUGGGUAGCAAACAGGAUUAGAUACCCGAGUAGUC